AGUAUACUCUGGUGAGCGCUAGUGUAUGGUCGUGGCUGAGUCACUGCCUCAACACUCCCACGUCCUCUCAUCACCCACGCAUGCAAGAGAGUCGAAGUACAAGAAAUGAACUACGAAGCAGUAUGAGCAUUGAGUGGAAGUACAAGGAAUGAACUACUAGGUAGUGUGAGCAGCAUAACAUUCCACCAGUUCCCCGGUCAGACAGUCAUUUGCUUUCCUCUCUUAUAUGUGAAGAAAUAACAGGUGGCGUUACAAUGUGGGUCAGCCCCCCACAGUUUAAUGGUGACUUAGUUCAUGAACCAUCCUUUACACAAUACCUAUCAUGAAUACAACUGUAUUAUUAGUGACGGUGUGAGUGUAGCGUGAGAUACAGUGAGAGACAAACAACCAGUCCACUACCACUACAAUAAUCGUCUCAUGAUGGAGGCGUGUUGAAAGAUAUAGUGAGACGAUAAACUAACCAUUGCAAUACUACUGUAACCACCACCUUCAAAACUAUUAUCACCGUAUAAUGAAGGUGCAGUGACACAGUGAGACGAGAGAGAGAGACCACUAUCACCACUGCUAUCACCAUCACCAUUAACCCAUGAUGGAGUUUGGAUUAGACGCCACCACACUUCAGCUGUGUGCUCAGGCCAGAGGGCGAGUUGCAGGCUGUCCGACCCACCUGACUGUGUCCAGCUACCGUGACCUUCUGCACCAGCUGCCUCACUCUGCCCAGCCUGAGCAGGCUCGAGGUACCGCUCUUUAUGUCACGGCAGUGGUGGUGUUCUAUGUGGCACUGUUGCUGGUGCUAGUAGGGGGGGGACUCAGGAGGAGGGCCAACAGAGGCACCUCAACAUCCGGUCGCCGUCAUAUCCUCACGUACUCACCCAACACUGGCAUCGCCAAGCCAGCACUGGCCGACCACCACCCACAACCUGAACCUUCAGCCACCCAGGUGUAGCACCUCUGUAAGCACUCAACCAGGAGUGCCAGCACCCAGGAUACUAACAACUGUGUGUGACACAUCACAUGCAGGUAUAACACCAAUGUAAACACUUAACCAGGAGUGCCAGCAGCUAGAAUACUAACACCUGCGUGUGUCACAUCACACGCAGGUGUAACACCAAUGUAAAUACUCUACCAGGAGUGUCAGCAGCCAAGAUACUAAGGAUGUGAAAAGCUCUAUACAUAACUAGUAGACCAUCGCUGGGGAGGACCACCAAUAGUAUCCACAAACCACAACCUAAAUUAUUUCUGAGGACCACGAGUAUCCAUGAACCUCAACUUUAAGUAUCUGUGUGUAGGUAAGUGCAUAUCAACGCACUCGUAGGUUAAGUCAAUUACCUUUUUGUAAGUGCAUGUGCUUAUAUUUUGUAAGUGCAUGUACUUAUAUUUUAUAAGUGCAAGUACUUAUAUUUUAUAAGUGCAAGUACUUAUAUUUUGUAAGUGCUAGUACUUUUUUUGUAAGUGCAAGUACUUGUAUUUUGUAAGUGCAUGUACUUAUAUUUUGUAAGUGCAAGUACUUAUUAUUUGUAAGUGCAUGUGCUUAUAUUCUGAGAUUUCUAGUAGAAGUUAUUCCAUGGAGUCCCACAUUCAGCUUUGAAUGAACUUGAUCCGAGGAAAUGGAGGUGGGACGUACACAGCAAAAUGUUUUAAAUGCUGUGUUAAACUGUGUUAAACUAGCUGUGUUAAACUAGCUGUGUUAAACUAGCUGUGUUCUGUGUAACUGUAUAUCCAAUGGAGGAGUAUCAGAAGUAAUCUUGAUCCUGUUAGACAGAAUCGGAAGUAAUCUUGAUCCUGUUAGAUAGUAUCAGAAGUAAUCUUGAUCCUGUUAGAUAGUAUCAGAAGUAAUCUUGACCCUGUUAGACAGAAUCGGAAGUAAUCUUGCUCCUGUUAGACAGAAACGGAAGUAAUCUUGCUCCUGUUAGACAGAAUCGGAAGUAAUCUUGAUCCUGUUAGAUAGUAUCAAAAGUAAUCUUGAUCCUGUUAGAUAGUAUCAGAAGUAAUCUUGACCCUGUUAGACAGAAUCGGAAGUAAUCUUGCUCCUGUUAGACAGAAUCGGAAGUAAUCUUGAUCCUGUUAGAUAGUAUCAAAAGUAAUCUUGAUCCUGUUAGAUAGUAUCAGAAGUAAUCUUGACCCUGUUAGACAGAAUCGGAAGUAAUCUUGACCCUGUUAGACAGAAUCGGAAGCAAUCUUGAUCCUGUUAGAUAGUAUCAGAAGUAAUCUUGAUCCUGUUAGAUAGUAUCAGAAGUAAUCUUGAUCCUGUUAGUUAGUAUCAGAAGUAAUCUAGAUCUUGUUAGAUAGUAUCAGAAGUAAUCUUGAUUCUGUUAGAUAGUAUCAGAAGUAAUCUUGAUCCUGUUAGAUAGUAUCAGAAGUAAUCUUGACCCUGUUAGACAGAAUCGGAAGUAAUCUUGAUCCUGUUAGAUAGUAUCAAAAGUAAUCUUGAUCCUGUUAGAUAGUAUCAGAAGUAAUCUUGAUCCUGUUAGUUAGUAUCAGAAGUAAUCUAGAUCUUGUUAGAUAGUAUCAGAAGUAAUCUUGAUCCUGUUAGAUAGCAUCAUAAGUACUCUUGAUCCUGCUAGACAGUAUCAGGAGUAAUCUUGAUCCUGUUAGACAGAAUCAGAAGUAAUCUUGACCCUGUUAAAUAGCAUCAGAAGUAAUCUUGAUCCUGUUAGAUAGUAUCAGAAGUAAUCUUGAUCCUGUUAGAAAGUAUCAGAAGUAAUCUUGAUCCCGUUAGACAUAAUCAGAAGUAAUCUUGAUCCUGUUAGACAGCAUCAGAAGUAAUAUUGAUCCUGUUAGAAUCAGAAGUAAUCUUGUUCCUGUUAGACAGAAUCAGAAGUAAUCUUGAUCCUAUUAGACAGAAUCAGAAGUAAUCUUGAUCCUGUUAGACAGAAUAAGAAGUAAUCUUGAUCCUGUUAAACAGAAUCAGAAGUAAUCUUGAUCCUGUUAGACAGAAUCAGAAGUAAUAUUGACCCUGUUAAAUAGCAUCAGAAGUAAUCUUGAUCCUGUUAGAUAGUAUCAGAAGUAAUCUUGAUCCUGUUAGAAAGUAUCAAAAGUAAUCUUGAUCCCGUUAGACAUAAUCAGAAGUAAUCUUGAUCCUGUUAGACAGCAUCAGAAGUAAUAUUGAUCCUGUUAGAAUCAGAAGUAAUCUUGAUCCUGUUAGACAGAAUCAGAAGUAAUCUUGAUCCUAUUAGACAGAAUCAGAAGUAAUCUUGAUCCUAUUAGACAGAAUCAGAAGUAAUCUUGAUCCUGUUAGACAGAAUAAGAAGUAAUUUUGAUCCUGUUAAACAGAAUCAGAAGUAAUCUUGAUCCUGUUAGACAGAAUCAGAAGUAAUCUUGAUCCUGUUAGACAGAAUAAGAAGUAAUCUUGAUCCUGUUAGACAGAAUCAGAAGUAAUCUUGAUCCUAUUAGACAGAAUCAGAAGUAAUCUUGAUCCUAUUAGACAGAAUCAGAAGUAAUCUUGAUCCUGUUAGACAGAAUCAGAAGUAAUCUUGAUCCUAUUAGACAGAAUCAGAAGUAAUCUUGAUCCUGUUAGACAGAAUCAGAAGUAAUUUUGAUCCUGUUAAACAGAAUCAGAAGUAAUCUUGAUCCUGUUAGACAGAAUAAGAAGUAAUCUUGAUCCUGUUAGACAGAAUCAGAAGUAAUCUUGAUCCUAUUAGACAGAAUCAGAAGUAAUCUUGAACCUGUUAGACAGAAUCAGGAAUAAUCUUGAUCCUGUUAGAUAAUAUCAGGAAAUGUAAUACUCACGAAAUAUCAAACGCAAGUAACAGUGUUUGUAAAACUUACAAAAUAUCAGGACAAAGAGUAAGGAAUGUGACGAUUACACAAUAUAAAAAAAAAGAAUACAGAGUUAUGAAUAAACUGACACACACACACACACACACACACACACACACACACACACACACACACACACACACACACACACACACACACACACACACACACACACA